AAAAUCGAUGUCUACUUGGCGGUGAGUGCCCUUGAGGCGUGGCUUCCGGAGCUAACGCGUUAAGUCGACCGCCUGGGGAGUACGGCCGCAAGGUUAAAACUCAAAUGAAUUGACGGGGGCCCGCACAAGCGGUGGAGCAUGUGGUUUAAUUCGAUGCAACGCGAAGAACCUUACCUGGUCUUGACAUCCACGGAAGUUUUCAGAGAUGAGAAUGUGCCUUCGGGAACCGUGAGACAGGUGCUGCAUGGCUGUCGUCAGCUCGUGUUGUGAAAUGUUGGGUUAAUCCCGCAACGAAAAUUG
rnacentral:rRNA from 1 species